rnacentral:rRNA from 1 species
AUGAACGCUAGCGGCAGGCCUAACACAUGCAAGUCGAGGGGCAGCACGUUAAAGAGUUUACUCUUUAUGGUGGCGACCGGCGGACGGGUGCGUAACGCGUAUGCAACCUGCCUGACACAGGGGGAUAAUCCGAAGAAAUUUGGUCUAAUACCCCAUAAUACCGAUAUAGGCAUCUAUGUUGGUUGAAAGCUUUGGUGGUGUCAGAUGGGCAUGCGUUGUAUUAGCUAGUUGGUGAGGUAACGGCUCACCAAGGCGACGAUACAUAGGGGGACUGAGAGGUUAACCCCCCACACUGGUACUGAGACACGGACCAGACUCCUACGGGAGGCAGCAGUGAGGAAUAUUGGUCAAUGGGCGGAAGCCUGAACCAGCCAUGCCGCGUGCAGGAAGACGGCUCUAUGAGUUGUAAACUGCUUUUGUACUAGGGUAAUUUGCGGUACGUGUACCGUAUUGAAAGUAUAGUACGAAUAAGGAUCGGCUAACUCCGUGCCAGCAGCCGCGGUAAUACGGAGGAUCCAAGCGUUAUCCGGAUUUAUUGGGUUUAAAGGGUGCGUAGGCGGCAGAUUAAGUUAGAGGUGAAAUUCCGAGGCUCAACCUUGGCACUGCCUCUGAUACUGGUUUGCUAGCGAGUAGAUGCUGUAGGCGGAAUGUGUGGUGUAGCGGUGAAAUGCAUAGAGAUCACACAGAACACCGAUUGCGAAGGCAGCUUACAAAUCUAUAUCGGACGCUGAGGCACGAAAGCGUGGGGAGCAAACAGGAUUAGAUACCCUGGUAGUCCACGCAGUAAACGAUGAUAACUCGUUGUCGGCGAUAUACAGUCGGUGACCAAGCGAAAGCGAUAAGUUAUCCACCUGGGGAGUACGUUCGCAAGAAUGAAACUCAAAGGAAUUGACGGGGGCCCGCACAAGCGGUGGAGCAUGUGGUUUAAUUCGAAGCAACGCGAAGAACCUUACCAGGUCUUGACAUCCCGAUGCUAUUUCUAGAGAUAGAAAGUUACUUCGGUACAUCGGUGACAGGUGGUGCAUGGUUGUCGUCAGCUCGUGUCGUGAGAUGUUGGGUUAAGUCCCGCAACGAGCGCAACCCCUAUCGUUAGUUACCAGCACGUGAAGGUGGGGACUCUAACGAGACUGCCGGUGUAAGCCGAGAGGAGGGUGGGGAUGACGUCAAAUCAGCACGGCCCUUACGUCCGGGGCGACACACGUGUUACAAUGGUCGGUACAGAGGGCAGCUACCUGGUGACAGGAUGCGAAUCUCGAAAGCCGGUCUCAGUUCGGAUUGGAGGCUGAAACUCGCCUCCAUGAAGUUGGAUUCGCUAGUAAUCGCGCAUCAGCCAUGGCGCGGUGAAUACGUUCCCGGGCCUUGUACACACCGCCCGUCAAGCCAUGGGAGUCGGGGGUGCCUGAAGUACGUUACCGCGAGGAGCGUCCUAGGGCAAAACUGAUGACUGGGGCU